CACGGUGGAGCUCCCAAAAUAAAAUACUUUCUUUAUUCCUUUCUUCUUCCCAAGAACAGAGCCUUGCUCUGUUUCUUCUUCUCAACACCCAGCCGACUCCUUCUUUGGUUCCCACCCCAACCGAGCACCUCCUCCCCCCCUCCCUUCUUCCUGCCUUCUUCCCCCUUUUAUAGCCCUUGGAGACGCGUUGGGGACGAGCUGGUAGCGACGGUGAUUGCGGAGCGCUGGGAACGUUGAUCACGGAGCUCGGACGCGGUGCGGGAUCGCCGGAUCACGGAAGAGGGGCUGGGGCUUCCUUCUUCGGGUGCCGGUUUGGAAGCUAGAUCGACGGGGAGGAGGAUCCGUGGAUCACGGAGGAUUUGGAGACGAGCGAGCUGGGAUUUGGGCGCUGCUGGCACGGUGCUUGAAUGCGAUCUGAGGCGGGAUUACGGGGAGGAGGCUGGGAUUUGGGGAAGAAUCACGGGCGGAAGGCAUAGAUGGAAGGUUCACCGCGUGAUACACUGGGGAUCUAAUCGCGAGAUCCUUGGGGAAGAGUUUUUGGUUGAUCCGGUUGGGACGCGGCAUGGACUGGCACGCUGAAGCGGAAGGUAGGCGCUGGGAUUCGGAUCGCGGAAGAAUCACGGGCGGAAGGAGCUGGGACUCGGGAAGAUUGAUCCGGCUGGAAGCUGAGAUCUUGGGGAGAAUCCGAUCAUGGCCACNNNNNNNNNNNNNNGGAAGGGGGAAUUUG
rnacentral:lncRNA from 1 species